rnacentral:lncRNA from 1 species
UGUGAGGGAGAUGGGAAGAGGCAGAGUAUUUUGUCUAAUUUCAAGUUCAAGAAAGCAAAGAACACAAAAGUUAAGUGGCUGGUGUCCAUUUACUCAAGUAAAUGUAUUCAGGAGUUGAGCCAGAAAUAAAGAUCAAGUCUUCUGGCCCAUGCACUAGGCCCCAUGCUGCCUCACAGCUUUCAAAACCUUCAUUUUCUUGGGAAAUGCUAAAAAGCUUUCCCCUACCAUACAUACUAGAUUCAGACACACUGCCAUCUACUGACCCACCAAAGGAUGUGCCAGCACAAGACAUCCUGACCUUCAAGGGAGGGAGGAACACCUUGAGAGGAGUUGAGAUCCUGCUUUCUCUUCAGAAUGCCAUCUCUAGGAUGCCAAUGGGCUGUGUCUACAGUACUAUGUAGGAAAGUGCUGCAAGAGUGACUCUGGAAGGUUGUGCUGAGAACUCUGAAGGCUUGCUGUGACUUUUUGGAAAUCAUAAACACCUCUAAAACACAUGUAUACUGGUGGUGUUAGUCAACUUAUAUCACUGUCUGUGAAGACGAUGCAGCAAAUUCAAUGAAAGUUGUAUACAUCAUGGAAAAGUUUGAAUUGCAUGAAGAAAAGAAGCUGACGGAAGUUCUUUCUGUCACCUCUCUGAAGACCUGGUUCAUAUCUGCAGCUGCAACUCUAUCCCUGAACUCAUCUUUGAAACUACCCAGAGAUAGACUGUCAAGAGCUUCAGAGCUUUACAACAGGAUCUUCCAAGUGCCCUGAGAGGUCAUGAUGGAGCCAAUAGAAAUAAAUCAUACAAAACAAAGCCAGAACCUGGUGGGAGGGAUGCUUACAAAACAACAUAAACGAGAAGUUGUCUGAAAAAAAAUUGUAUGGAAGGAAGAAGAGAUGAGAUAAGGGAAAUGAACUCAUAAUAGCCCCAGUUAAAAUACUUACAGUAAAAUAUCAUUAGUACUACUUGAUGUUGGUGAAAGGCUCUAGACUCAAGUCAGAAGGCCCAAUUUGUUGCUGUGAUUUCUUGAACAAAUUAUGUAAUUGUGUUGAGAUUCAGUUUUCUUUUCUAUCAUUGGGUAUUAAUAACUUCUAUGUGAUGUCAGAGUUAUGAUGUGAAGUUAAAAUAACUAAUAAAUGGGUAAACCCUGAAAAUUUGAUAGAAUUUUGUGAAUGAGAGAAUCUUACAAAUACAGUACCUGAAACCAAAAGAAUUAAGUCUCAGCUUGAGGAAUAUCAGAUACUAGGGCAGGCUAAUGGGAUAAAGGUCUCAUUGAUCUGCCACCUUCAGUCACACUGAAAUGGGGCUAUAUUUUUUUUAUUUACUUACCUACCAGUACUGCCAAUAGUCAAAAUAGUACUACUUUCCAAGUUAUUUAACUUUUUUAGUAUAACAGAAAAAAAAAUCAUUUCUAGUUUUCAAGGCAUGGAUUCAAUGAGUAAUAUAGAUUUAUAUCACUUGGUGAAGACAUGGCAAUUUCCCUGAUACCACUGAAAAAUAAAUUUAAAAAUGCUAUUUGAUACCUUCUUUAAAAGCUUUUUUUGUUUGUUUCUUUGCUGAAAUGGCAAGGAUUGAAGAUAAUUGGAUUUACAAAACAACAUAGCAAGAGCUCCCAAUUUCAGUAUUGUGACAGGUCCAUUGAUAAAACCUGCUCAGGCAGAGACCAAGUUGGAAGGAAGGAUAGGUUAUUAUUUUAGUUCUCCUGAGGUAAAAUAAAUAUUCUUAAAAACGUGCAUCCAUCCAUCCUCUUUUAAGUAGAGAGGUCAUCAGUCUCUUUCCUUAUUAAAAUGAGCACAAACUGAACAUGCAUAGAUUGAUUCUCUCUAUUCAGUUGCAGUUUGAAACUUAGCCUGCUACACAUUUUAACAGAAUUUUCUACACAUUUUAACAGACACACACUUUCUACACAUUUUUAACAGAAGCAUUUUAACAGACAUUUCUCAAUGUGGCUCUCUGACUUUAUGACAUCAGAGGAAGCAGUCUUCAACCUGGUAAAAAACGUAAAGAAAAUGCAAUGUCUACUUAUAAACUUAACAAGAAUAUCAAUGACAACUAUUUUACCAAUGAAUUUAAAGAUUUGGAGAUUUCACAUAAUAGCCAGUAGCUCUUUGACAUAAAUAUAAAGCUAUAUAAUCCACAAUUCCAUUCUUUGCUUAUUUUAUGUUUUUCUGAAGUAGUUAUUGAGCACCUAUUGUGUGUAAAGAGCUGGAAUGGACAUAAGAAUACAGAAUGGCAAUAGGUUCAAAGAAUGCCAAGUACAGGAAGAGGAAAGAUGCUGAGUUCUUGUCUGGAUUUGACUUUAAUUAGUUUUAUGACCUUGGUUAAGUCACUUCUCCCAUGUAAAUCAUUGAACACUUUUUUAUUGAGGGCUUCCCAUAGGUAGAAACAAGAAUGACUGAGGAACAAAUAAACCCGGCCUCAGCCUUUGUGGAACUGACAUGGUAGUGGGUAAGAUAAAUAUUAAAGAAUUAAACACAUAAACAAAUAUAAGUAAAGAUUAUAUAAAGUGUAACCAAAAGUAAAUAAUGUUAAAGAAUUUUUAAACAUUGAGCUUCUGAUUCAAUCGGCCAGUCAUGGAAUACUUAUCCGAGGAAGCAAAAUUUAGACUGAUACUUGAAGGAAGAAAGAUUGCUGGGUGUAAAUAACAAACGUGGAAGCGUAACAGAUCUGAGGAAGUUCAGGCCAGUGUGGUUGAAACGCAGAGACCAAACGGAAGAAGGCAAAGGAUGAGACUUACUAACCAGACACUGCCCAAAUCCUGCAAGGCCUUACAGACAUGGUAAGAAGUUUUGAAUACAUCCUAAGUCAAAUGAAAAAUCACCAACAGAUAUUAAACAGCUGCAUGACAUGAUCAGAUUUGCAUUUUUAAAGAUUACUCCGGCUGUGGUGUAAAUAGUGGAUUGAGAGUAAGAUGCAGCCAUUCGAAGUGGCAGACUAGUUACACACACUGAAAUGUAAUAAUGCUGCAAAAAACAUAAUACUGAAUGAAAAAGGAAAAGACAGAAUGUGUUCCAAAGCACAAUACCUUUAUAUAAUGAUAGCUUGAUGAAAACACAUACAAAUAAAAGAUUAUAUAUUAAACCUCUUAAAAUGGUUGCUCUUGAAAGGCUAAAUAGGGAUAGCAAUGGGGGUAAAAAAAAAUAACUCAAUAAAACAAGAGAGGGCUAAUAAAUGGACCAGCAACAAUAGUAGGUUAUACGCUAAUGAGCAUGAUAAAUUCUUAAGGGCCCUAGUAUUUUUAGAAUGGUAAAUGAGCAUGGCUUCAACUUAAUGUCACCAGGUGCUUAGCCUGUAAAAAGAGAGUCAGGCUAUCUUUAGAAGUUUUGAAGCCAGACAUUGGCUUCUCCUCUCUAGCUAUGAAAUUCCUAGACUGCAUCUGCUUCCAAGAGAAGGCUGUUUCAUCUACAUUGAAAAUCUGUUCUUGGAUGUAGUCACCUUCAUCAAUUAUCUUAGAUAAUCUUCUGGAUAAUUUGCUGCAGCUUCUACAUCAGCACUGGUCACUUUACCUUGUCCUUUAAGGUUAUGGAAAUGGAUUUUUUUUUUUCCUAAAACCUCAUAAACCAACCUCAGCUAGAUUCACACAUUUCUUCUGCAGUUUUCCCACCACUCUUAGCCUUCACGGAAUUGAAGAGAGUUAGGGCCUUGCUCUGGAUUAGGUUUUGGUUUAAGGGAAUGUGUUGGCUGUUUUAAUCUUCUAUCCAAACCACUAAAAGUGUUUCUGUAUCAACAAUAAGGCUGUUUCCCCCUUUUAAUCAUCAUGUGUUCACUGGAGUACCACUUUUAAUUUCAUUCAAGAGCUUUUCCUUUGCAUUUACAACUUGACUAACUGGCACAAAAUUCUAGCUUUCAGGCUGUCUCAGGUUUCAACAUAACUUCCUUGUUAAGCUUAAUCAUUUCUAGCUUUUGAUUAAAGUGGGAGACGUGCAACUUUUCCUUUCACUUGAACACUUAGUGGCCAUUAUAGGGUUGUUACUUAAACUAAUUUCAAUACUGUUGUGUCUUGGACAAUAGGAAGGCCUGAGAAGAGGGAGUGGGAUGUGGGAAUAGCCAGUCAGUGGAGAAGUCAGAACAGAUACAACAUUUAUCAAUUAAGCUUAUCAUCUUAUAAGGGCACAAUCUGUGGUGCCCCAAAACAAUUAUAAUAGUAAUGAGAGGUGACAACGUGCUAGCAGCCCUUGCUCACUCUCAGCACCUCUUGGACCUCGGCAUCCACUCGGGCCACACUUGAGGAGCCCUUCAGCCCACUGCUGCACUGUGGGAGCCCCUGUCUGGGCUGGGUGAGGCCGGACCCGGCUCCCUCUGCUUGCGGGGAGGUGUGGAGGGAGAGGUGCGGGCGGGAACCCAGGCUGCACGCGGUGCUCGCGGGCCAGUGCGAGCUCCGGGUGGGUGUGGGCUCGGCAGGCCCCGUACUUGCGCAGCUGGCCCCAGGCAGUGAGGGGCUUAGCACCCGGUCUAGCAGCUGCAGAGGGUGCGCCAGGCUACCCCAGCACUGCUGGCCCGCCGGCGCCGCACUUGAAUUCUCGCUGGGCCCCAGCCACCUCCCCAUGGGGAAGGGCUCGGGACCUGCAGCCCACCAUGCCCAAGCCCCCCUGUGGUAGGAUCCCACAUGGCCUGAGCCUCCCCGGCGGGCGCUGCCCCCUGCUCCACAGCGCCCAGUCCCAUCAACCACCCAAGGGCUGAGGAUCGCGGGCGCGCAGCACGGGACUGGCGGGCAGCUCUGCCCGCGGCCCUAGAACGGGAUCCACUAGGCGAAGCCAGCUGGACUCCUGAGUCGGGUGGGGUCUUGGAGAACUUUUAUGUCUAGCUGGAGGAUUGUAUAUGCAUCAAUCAGCACUCUGUGUCUAGCUUGGGGUUUGUGGAUGCACCAAUCAGCACUCUGUAUCUAGCUAAUCUGGUGGGGACUUGGAGAACUUUUAUGUCUAGCUAGAGGAUUGUAAAUGCACCAAUCAGCACUCUGUGUCUAGCUAAAGGUUUGUAAACGCACCAAUCAGUACUCUGUGUCUACCUAAUCUAGUAUGGACUUGGAGAACUUUUAAGUCUAGCUAGAGGAUUAUAAAUGCACCAAUCAGCACUCUGUGUCUAGCUAAAGGUUUCUAAAUGCACCAAUCAGUGCUCUGUGUCUAGCUAAUCUAGUGAGGACUUGGAGAACUUUAAUGUCUAGCUAGAGGAUUAUAAAUGCACCAAUCAGCACUCUGUGUCUAGCUAAAGGUUUGUAAAUGCACCAAUCAGUGCUCUAUGUCUAGCUAAUCUAGUGGGGACUUGGAGAACUUUUUUUUUUUUUUUUUUUUGAGACGGAGUCUCACUCUGUCACCC